rnacentral:lncRNA from 1 species
AGCAGCCCAACGAGAAAACCCCUAAAUUGAAAGCAGCCGAGAGAUAAACCCCUGAAUUGAAAGCAGCCGAGAGAGAAACCCCUAAAUUGAAAGCAACCCAGCAAGAAAACCCAGCGGAAUCGAGAGAAUCACAGUUGCUGGUGAAGGUGAGAGAAACCCCUAAAUUGCUGACGAUAUAGCGGGUUGUUGGUGACGAUACAGUGGAUUUAGCGAUGAAGAAUGGGUGAAAUCAGCCCAGCAAGAAAACCCAAAUAACAACCUGAGAAAACCCAGCAGCGAAUUAACAAUUGAACCCAGCGAUGGAGAUUUUCAGCGAGGGUCAGGAUGCGGAGAGACAAGGGAGUAUGUAGUCGCGCGAAAUGUCGAAGUAGAGUUUAGAGUCAGGUUUAGUGAGCAGCGGGGGUUUAAUUAAUCUAGAAUUUUGUUUUUUAAAAAAUAUAAACACUUCUUACGUUGGUUAAAUGAACACCGACAGUAUUGCCUCUUUUACAGCGUCGGUUAAAGCAUGACCAAAACAAAAUGAUAACAAGUAGCGUCGGUUAGAGAGGGAACCGACAUUAUAGAGUGAUCAAUAGCGUCGGCAUUCCAACAGCCGACACCUUUGUAUCGAAUAUAGUGAUCAAUAGCGUCGGCAUUCAAAUGACCGACACUAUUGGUGUAUAAACAGCGUCGGUUAAGUGACUAAACCGAUGCUAAAAGUGGUGAAAAAAUAGCAACAACGUCGGCAUACCAAAUAACCGACACUGAUUGGUAUCAAGCGUGUCGGUCCUCUACUUAACCGACACUAAAAGUGCGACUCCAAAAGUCACUUUUGUACUAGUGAUAGUUUAUAUUAAUUUGAGUUUGUUUGUACAAUACAUGGGAUGUCAUUGACAAAAAGGAACCAUGUUGAGACUCCUGAAGAGGCUAAAGCAAAGUAUAGAAGGUUUUGUUCAAGAUUAAAUAUAUGGCUUCUAAAACAUGAUACAAAAAUUGAUGAUAUCGAUCUGGUACAUUCUAAAUCAUUUAAUAAAUAAUUUCUGUUUCACACAAAAACACAAACAUAGAUAGACUAAAAUAUAUAUAAAAUUACUCAAGCACAUCCAAAUGAUUAGUUUCAAGUAUUUUUACUUAUUCCUUUCCAUUCUCCCCAACCAAACACAAUAUUAGUCCUUUACAGGUGAAUGCUUGCAUAUAUACUAGGAUAUCUAACACUUUCCUUAACAAAAUAAUUAGAACAAUAUAUGAAGAGAUUUUGCUAAAUAAACUAUGGUGUUUUUGUCAGAUUUUCAGCAGAGAACAAAAGAAACACAACAAUCUCAGCCAAAGUUAAAUAAAUCGGGGAGGAUAAAAAACCCAAAUCUUAAACAAGAAGUUAAACGAGAAGAAAACCUGGAAUAACAAAGCUCUUAAACCUUGAACCCACCACUAGUAGCAGCCCAACGAGAAAACCCCUAAAUUGAAAGCAGCCGAGAGAUAAACCCCUGAAUUGAAAGCAGCCGAGAGAGAAACCCCUAAAUUGAAAGCAACCCAGCAAGAAAACCCAGCGGAAUCGAGAGAAUCACAGUUGCUGGUGAAGGUGAGAGAAACCCCUAAAUUGCUGACGAUAUAGCGGGUUGUUGGUGACGAUACAGUGGAUUUAGCGAUGAAGAAUGGGUGAAAUCAGCCCAGCAAGAAAACCCAAAUAACAACCUGAGAAAACCCAGCAGCGAAUUAACAAUUGAACCCAGCGAUGGAGAUUUUCAGCGAGGGUCAGGAUGCGGAGAGACAAGGGAGUAUGUAGUCGCGCGAAAUGUCGAAGUAGAGUUUAGAGUCAGGUUUAGUGAGCAGCGGGGGUUUAAUUAAUCUAGAAUUUUGUUUUUUAAAAAAUAUAAACACUUCUUACGUUGGUUAAAUGAACACCGACAGUAUUGCCUCUUUUACAGCGUCGGUUAAAGCAUGACCAAAACAAAAUGAUAACAAGUAGCGUCGGUUAGAGAGGGAACCGACAUUAUAGAGUGAUCAAU